rnacentral:rRNA from 1 species
CCCGCACAAGCGGUGGAGCAUGUGGUUAAUUCGAAGCAACGCGAGAACCUUACCAGGUCUUGACAUCCUUUUGAAUGGUCUAGAGAUAGAUCAGGCCUUCGGGACAGAAGGAGACAGGUGGUGCAUGGUUGUCGUCAGCUCGUGUCGUGAGAUGUUGGGUUAAGUCCCGCAACGAGCGCAACCCUUAUCAUUAGUUGCUAACAUUCAGUUGAGAACUCUAAUGAGACUGCCAGUGAUAAACUGGAGGAAGGUGGGGAUGACGUCAAAUCAUCAUGCCCCUUAUGACCUGGGCUACACACGUGCUACAGUGGCCGGUACAAAGAGUUGCGAACCCGCGAGGGGGAGCGAAUCCCAAAAAGCCGCUCUCAGUUCGGAUUGCAGGCUGCAACUCGCCUGCAUGAAGCCGGAAUCGCUAGUAAUCGCGGAUCAGCAUGCCGCGGUGAAUACGUUCCCGGGCCUU